rnacentral:snoRNA from 9 species
UGGACAUGAUGACUAUGAUUAUCUGAGAAAUUAUUGAUGAAAUCUCAAGAAAAUUCCUCUAGAUAGUCAAGUUCUGAUCCAG